GUAGAAUUGAGCACUGAAACUAAAAUUGCAUUGGAAGUAUUCAGAAGAAUUGAUCUGAAUGGGCUCUCACUCUCUAAGUGAUGCUAAGAACAGAAAGUUAUGACUUGAAAAACUUGACACAGGCAACAUUGAGUUGAUACUGAUAAUGAGAUAAACUUUGGAUAUUAUGAGACCUAAAAGAAGAUGCAGUUCAACCUAAGAAUGUGUGAAAUGACUGCAGCAAGGUUCUGUGUGGGAAGAAAAGCUGAGACUUAAACUGUGAAAAUAGAAG